GCUUGUGAUUAUAAUUGUAUUGAAGAAUUUGGUGUUCUAGCUGGUUUUUUUUGGAAGAUUUGAAGACUUGUAAGUAAACUCAUAUCAAGUAAUUGCAUGUAUAGAAAAGAUCAAUUUUGCAUUGUGUAUUUCAAUAACAUGGCCUCAUCUGAGUUCACUAUACAUGUAUCGGUGAAGUUUGUGUUGGUUUUUUUUUUUUGCAGCAGUUUAAUUGCAUACUUGUAGUUUGGUAAAUAACACAAUAUUAUUUGC
rnacentral:lncRNA from 1 species